AAGACUAUAGACCUGCGGAGUACCUGCGGAGGGAUCAUUAAAAAAACUUUGCCCGCGGACCUUGGGUCCAAGGCGCAAAACCCACACUAUGUGCACUGUUAUCGUUCUUUUGGCAGGGGCUUGGGGUAUCUUCCAACUUGGGGAACCUCAACUUCUCGUCUAGCUUUAUCCACCUCGGACAGCUGGACAUGAGAAGUAGUUACUCUGCCAAGUGACCCUUAAAAACACGCUUUUUUGUCU
rnacentral:misc_RNA from 1 species